GGUGCCAGUACGGCGAGUGAACAGGCAAGAGCUCAGAUUUGAAAGGCACUUUUGUGCCGUUGUAUUCUGAAGUUAGGGUCCUGAGAAACGAUGCUUAAGUCUUCUGGAAAGGAGCGCCAUGGAGGGUGAUAGCCCCGUCUAGCAUUGACCUCAUAUAGGAUCUUAACAUGGAGUCGAGUUGUUUGGGAAUGCAGCUCAAAUGGGUGGUAUGCUCCAUCUAAAGCUAAAUAUCUGCGAGAGACCGAUAGUAAACAAGUACUGUGAGGGAAAGAUGAAAAGAACUUUGAAAAGAGAGUGAAAAAGUACGUGAAAUUGUUGAAAUGGAAGGGUAGGCCGCUAACCAUGUAGAGCCGUGUUUGGGGGGAAGAUAAAUGCUGUAGAAUGUAGCUCCUCGGAGUAUUAUAGAUGCAGUUCAUAUUCCCACCCGAGCGCGAGGAUCUCAGGUUCUACUAAAUGGUGGUCUACCACCCGUCUUGAACCACGGACCAAA
rnacentral:rRNA from 1 species